rnacentral:tRNA from 1 species
GCCAGGGUAGCUCAGUUGGUAGAGCAACGCAUUCGUAACGCGUAGGUCGUGGGUUCAAUUCCCACCCCUGGCUCCA